rnacentral:rRNA from 1 species
GUUGUUGCAGUUAAAAGCUCGUAGUUGAAUUUCGGGAUCAAUGUUUCGGUCAUGCCGUUGGUAUGUACUGAUAUUAUUGGUUUCUCACCUUCUAAAGAACCGUAAUGCCAUUAAUUUGGUGUCACGGGGAAUUAGGACUGUUACCUUGAAAAAAUUAGAGUGUUUAAAGCAGGCUCACGCUUGAAUACAUUAGCAUGGAAUAAUGAAAUAGGACAUCCGAU